rnacentral:misc_RNA from 1 species
AAAGUCGUAACAAGGUUUCCGUAGGUGAACCUGCGGAAGGAUCAUUAUCGUGGGGCUUCGGCCCCGUCGAGAUAGCACCCUUGCCUUUAUGAGUACCUUGGUUCCCUCCCCCGUACCUCCGGGGAGCGGGAGGGACCUCGUCUGUUUCCCUGUGGCGGUGAAAGCCCCAUGGGGACCACGAAACACGCUGUAACCACCUGUAACUGUCUGAUAAACAAACAAAAAAAUCAAAACUUUCAACAACGGAUCUCUUGGUUCUG